AUUGAACGCUGGCGGCAGGCCUAACACAUGCAAGUCGAACGAGUGGCGGACGGGUGAGUAAUGUCUGGGAAACUGCCUGAUGGAGGGGGAUAACUACUGGAAACGGUAGAUAAUACCGCAUACCAUCGGAUGUGCCCAGAUGGGAUUAGCCAGUAGGUUGGGGAACGGCUCCCCUAGGCGAAGAUCCCUAGCUGGUCCGAGAGGAUGACCAGCCACACUGGAACUGAGACACGGUCCAGACGCCUACGUGAGGCAGCAGUGGGGAAUAUUGCACAAUGGGCGCAAGCCGGAUGCAGCCAUGCCGCGUGUAUGAAGCAGUCCUUCGGGUUGUAAAGUACUUUCAGCGGGGAGGCGUUACCCGCAGAAGAGACACCGACUAACUCCGUGCCAGCAGCCGCGGUAAUUC
rnacentral:rRNA from 1 species